GUACUGUACUUUCAACAAAGAAUUGUUAUUUUCAUAAAUUCUGUAUUUUGGAAAUUUGAACACGUGCCAUGAAUAUCUGUAAAAUUCGGUUUACUUCUUGCAGGAAAAUCAAGCAGCAGUUUCUGUAGUGUAGUGGUUAUCGCGUUCGCUUUACACGCGAAAGGUCCUCGGUUCGAAACCGGGCGGAAACAGUGCUCUUUGACACGUGCAGUAGGUACUGUACUUUCAACAAAGAAGUGUUAUUUUCAUGAAAUCUGUAUUUUGGAAAUUCGAAUACGUGCCCUGAAUAUCUGUAAAAUUCGGUUUACUCCUCGCAGCUAAAUGUAGCAGCAGUUUCUGUAGUUUAGUGGUUAUCACGUUCGCUUUACACGUGAAAGGUCCUCAGUUUGAAACCGGGAGGAAACAGUGCUCUUAGACAUGUGCAGUAGGUACUGUACUAUUAACAGAGAAUAGUUAUUUUCAUAAAUGCCUAAUUUUGGAAAUUUGAACACGUGCCAUGAAUAUCUGUAAAAUUCGGUUUACUCCUUGCAGAUAAUUGUUGAAGAAGUUUCUGUAGUGUAGUGGUUAUCAUGUUCGCUUAACACGCGAAGGGUCCUCGGUUCGAAACCGGGCGGAAACAGAGCUCUUUGACACGUGCAGUAGGUACUGUACUUUCAACAAAGAAUUGUUAUUUUCAUAAAUUCUGUAUUUUGGAAAUUUGAACACGUGCCAU
rnacentral:tRNA from 1 species